CACGUUUAGUGUCACAUUCGGGUUCGAUCUCGUCAGUUUUAAGCCGUCUCCUCUGUGGUGGCGCUUCUUCUUUGCGAUGGAAACAAUGACAACAAGGUUCGAAAACCCUACCCACACCACCACACCACCUCUAAACCAGGAGCGCACACUAAAGCACAGAAUGCCUUGGAGAAGCUACAGAUCUAGCCACCAAAGUCACUGAUAUGGCCAUUAAAGUCAUGGAUUUGACAACUUUUGAGGAUGUUUUUCCCGUUGAGGCAACAAGCAUUGAAGAGUAUCUGCAACAUGUUCAUGAAAUGACAAUGGUCUCUACUGUCCAAGAAGCUCAGAAGGGGGUUUCAAUGAUUUUAUGAUGAAAGUGUUAGAGGUUAGUGUAAUCAUGUUUUUUUAUGGGAUAAUCAUUUAUAAUGUUUUCUGUUAUCUUUUAAUUUGGGGUUUGGUUUUUUUUUUUUUCAUAUUUUACUGGAGAUAUCUUUUGCAAUAGGCCUUGUCUAAGGUAUAUUCAUAAAACUACCAAAAUAUGAAUCCUUGUAUAAAAAAUGAUAGGUUUUGUUUCAUAUUUUUACUUUUGUAAUAGGCCUUGGCUAAGGUAUAUUUAGUAGCAUAACGAAUUGAGUAAGUAAUUUUAUUUCAUAUUCUAAGAUAGGUUUAUUUUUUCUUGAUAUGUUGUGACUCAACUUCCUUAUUACUCAUUAGAAUUUAGUGUUUGACAGGAGGAUUGGCAAAAAAAGAAAAGCAUGAUUUCCUUUAGAGUUUAAGUUGAAUUUUAACAUUACCUAGGACAAACAUUGUUGGUAACAACAAUGUGGGUACCCUCCUUGGUCAGAUUGCAUCUAUGUCUUCUACUUCAUCGGUGUCAUUUGGUAUAUCUAGCAUGGAGAUUGUUCCUUUGACUGGCAUACCUAUUGUGGAGAAAAAGACAUCUGUCGAUGCUGAGAUAGUGAAAAAUCUGAACAAAGCAAGGGAGUCUGGGUUACCAUUUAAAGUAUGCCCCCUACUUUCUCUAUCUCUUAAAUUUAUAAUGAGAUUUCUAUAUUAGAUUGAAAUCUAUAUUGUUUUUCCUGUUUAAAAGACAAACCUUUUGUGAUCAAAUAUUAUUUGGCAUGAAACUGAUGUUUUGAAAUUUUAAUUCAAUAUCAUGUCCAGUCUUCAUUUUUUGAUAUACAAUAGCACAUGAUAUGUUUUGAGAUGUUUGUUGUACUAUCUUCUCUGAAGCAAUAGUAACUUGUGUUUACAUGCAUGCAAGUAUGUUAGUUUUCAUUAUUUUUUAUGGUUCUUAGCUUGCUGCAGUUGUCAAAGAUGCAUAUGAAAAUUUGGGCAUUAAUGCUAGUGGUGGAAAAUCAGUAAAGAUGUGAAAGAUAUGGCUUCUUGUUGAGGUUGUUCUUGUAGUUGUAUUCCGCGAUUAUGUUAAAUAGGCAAAAUAGAAAGAAUAACUUGUGCGGGUAGCUUUAUUGCUUUUACCUGUGACUAAGUAAAUAUUUUAUUUAUUCUUUAUAUAACUUAGUUCAUUGAAAUAGAUGUUGAAUGCUAAUGAUACAAAUAUGAAGAAAUUUGGUCCCCUAAGGUUAAUGACUUUGUGUGCCUCUCAGAUAGGGCUUACACUCAUGAAUAGAUUCUGGCCAUAGAGAAAAUCAUAUUGGGAAAGUUGGAAUGGACUUUGAUUGUGCCUACACUUUUUGUUUUCCAAGUUAGUUUUAUCAAGGCAUCGAUCCUAGAUUAGGAGGUGAGAGUGUGUUUGUGUGUGUGUGAGUGACCUUUUGUUUAAAUUAAUUUUAUCAAGGCAUGAGUUCCAUAUAAAAUCAUUUAUUUUCAUUCAAUCAUUGUUUAAAUUAAUUCUAUUUUGGUUUUGUUGGGUACUAAGAGGGAUUGUGCUAGACUAUUGGUGGGUUUCCACUCCAGUGUUGGGAAUAGAAAGCUUAGGGUUGUGUAUCAAAAGUAUUUUGACCCUAAAAAGGGUGCUAUUGUUGUGCUCCCACUAGCUAAAGGUUUCUUCCUCUCAAUCGAGUUAAAGAAGCAAAGAGAGAAGUAGUGAGAGUUUUUUAUGGGCAAAGCAAAUAAUCAUUUGUAUUUUUUAUGUGGGUUAUUAAAUUGACAUUUUAAGGACAUAGGAUUUUUCA